AGUGAACGCUGGCGGUAGGCCUAACACAUGCAAGUCGAACGGCAGCACAGUAAGAGCUUGCUCUUACGGGUGGCGAGUGGCGGACGGGUGAGGAAUACAUCGGAAUCUACUUUUUCGUGGGGGAUAACGUAGGGAAACUUACGCUAAUACCGCAUACGACCUACGGGUGAAAGCAGGGGAUCUUCGGACCUUGCGCGAUUGAAUGAGCCGAUGUCGGAUUAGCUAGUUGGCGGGGUAAAGGCCCACCAAGGCGACGAUCCGUAGCUGGUCUGAGAGGAUGCACAGCCACACUGGAACUGAGACACGGUCCAGACUCCUACGGGAGGCAACAGUGGGGAAUAUUGGACAAUGGGCGCAAGCCUGAUCCAGCCAUACCGCGUGGGUGAAGAAGGCCUUCGGGUUGUAAAGCCCUUUUGUUGGGAAAGAAAAGCAGCAGGUUAAUACCCCGCUGUUCUGACGGUACCCAAAGAAUAAGCACCGGCUAACUUCGUG
rnacentral:rRNA from 1 species